ACGAGCCAUGCCAUGAGAAAACCAACAUAGUGGCUUUGCGACCAGCUUAUGUGCAGUCUGGUCAGGAUCCAUGCUGUUCGCUAACGGUUUCUCUAAUUGCAAUAGGCUUUGAAAGCGAACAGUAUGGAUCCUGACCAGACUGCACAGAUGCGCAGGCUGGUCUGGAUCCAUGCUGGUUACAAAUGCACUAUGUUGGUUUUCUCGUGGCGUGGCUCAUAUUAUUAUUUCGUUACACUUUCACAAUACUUUAAUAGAUAAGUAUAAAUUUCUUUUUCAGUGAACAAGUUAUUGUGAGAUAGUCUGAUUACUUUGGAGCUGCCAGAUUGUGUAUCAGGGGUUCCACUUGACCCAAAAACCCAAGAGUCCCAGGACCCUUGGGCCCAAAUUUUGAAAGGUCCUUUUCCAAAAUACAGGAGUCCUGUCCCAACACGUCAAUAUAAUUUACUAUAUUUUUUUAUUCAGUAAUACGUAGAUCUUUACCAUAAGAAUACAAUAAACCCAAGAUCAUGUUACAGCAUAAUAAAAAUGUCAGUCUCAGGUCAUAUAGUCUCAUAUUGUAAACUAAUAUUUAUCAAAAUUCAUGUUAUUUUAAUUAGGUUUUUCUUAAAUAUUUCAUUUCAUUUUUAAUAACAGAACAGUGCUAUAACACUCUAGAAAAAUGUAUCCAAAAUGUACUAUCCGAAUACUGUUACACUUUCAGAAUGUCAUCGGAAAGUAGUUUUUGCUCAGUUUAUUUGGCAAACUAAGCUAAAUCAGCGAUAGUUCCUCAAAUAAUGAUGCUACUUAUCAUAAAAAACUGCAUUGAAAGUCGGGUUUUUUUUUUAGGAAUUUUGGAAAUAUGCUUGAUUUGACAUCGGGUGUAAUAAGACCCGUGGACGGACAUUCUAAACUUAUUUUUGCUUUCGAAAUUCAUCAAAAUUUGAGAAGUUUCUUGUUGAAAUUACGAGAUGAUCUAAUUGAAAGUGGGCAUGAAAAAAUCUUGCAGGGCACUUUUCACGUGCUCGGUAAUCAGCUGCUUACGAUAAUUUAAUAAUUGGCGCCUUUUUUGACAGUACACAGGAUUCGCUUUAUCAAUUAAUUUCAACACUUCAUUGAUUUCUUGUUACCUAUGUGCACUCGUCGUGACGUAACUUGCUGAUAAAAAAUCAGCGAGGCAUGUCUACAGGAGAAAGGGCGGGAUUUAGCAGAGAUCAAAGGCAGGAGAGCAUGACCGCGAGUGUUUUUUUGAAUACACGUGUCUAUCGUGGAAAUAGUUUUACCGAAGGAAAUUAAUGAUAAGAGAAAGGAUUAUCAAAGGAAAAUGCCCCCGGGUCCCGAAGGACGCACAGGCAAGUAUUCUGCCGGGUCCUUUGAGCGUCUUUUGAAAAUCUCCCGGGUCCGGACCCGGGGUCCCGGGUCAAAUGGAACCCCUGCUGUAUGAAAUCCAGAACAAAGUAUUUCAACAACUUUUUCAUGAACAACAGAAACUUCACCUUACCAAAUUGUAGGACCAGACAUUGUGAGAAAGUUUGAUUGCAUUCACUGCCAGAGCUAAAGCUAGAAAAGAAACUAAACAACUUCUUCUCAUGAUCUGCUUAAUUGAUCUUCACAUUGAAUUGUCAACCUGUAUGCUACAUUGUAUAAUGACGUUGAGCAAAUAAAGAUACUGCAGUCAGCGUUACAACCUUCAUUAAACAGAAUGAAUUGGUGUUACAGAAAUGGAUAACAUAUGGAGACAAACACUUUCAGGCUACAGAAACUACACUAUGAGACUAUGAGAAUGGCUUAUUUUCAUGAUGGAACUCAUACCACAAAGAAAGAACUUGCUGUAUCUUGUUUCUUAUAACUAGUCCUCAAAGACAUACCCAAGUAAACUACAACAGGAAUGAAAGCAAACAAAGUUGAUUCAGGAUUUAGAAUUGAAUGUUUUUGUGUCAACAGUGUGUGAAAACUGCGGAAAAUAGGAUUUUAAUUUCAAGGAUUUGAUUUAGUAUGUCAAGGAGUGAUUUAUUUUUAAUUCAUCACACAAAUUAUUGACAAUGCUCUAAAAUAUAAAUAGGAUGUGUAAAUACAGACUUUCAUACCUAACUAAAAUAAUGUUGAACUCAACAGAAUAAACAAACUACCAUCUGUUGUAUAAUAUAUUAGUUGAUUUAUCAAACUUUGUCAGUUUUGUUACAUUACUUAUCAUUGAUAGAAUCUAUUAUCUAAUAACUCUUUACAGUGUGUCAAGUACUCAUCAUUAAAAGCUAUUUUAAAAUAA